GUGGGGAAUAUUGGACAAUGGGCGAAAGCCUGAUCCAGCCAUGCCGCGUGUGUGAAGAAGGUCUUCGGAUUGUAAAGCACUUUAAGUUGGGAGGAAGGGUAGUAACCUAAUACGUUGCUACUUUGACGUUACCGACAGAAUAAGCACCGGCUAACUUCGUGCCAGCAGCCGCGGUAAUACGAAGGGUGCAAGCGUUAAUCGGAAUUACUGGGCGUAAAGCGCGCGUAGGUGGUUCAGUAAGUUGGAAGUGAAAUCCCCGGGCUCAACCUUGGAACUGCUUUCAAAACUGCUGAGCUAGAGUACGGUAGAGGGUGGUGGAAUUUCCUGUGUAGCGGUGAAAUGCGUAGAUAUAGGAAGGAACACCAGUGGCGAAGGCGACCACCUGGACUGAUACUGACACUGAGGUGCGAAAGCGUGGGGAGCAAACAGGAUUAGAUACCCGAGUAGUCC
rnacentral:rRNA from 1 species